GUCAUUAGCUUGGCAGAGCCGGCCGGGCUCCGCAGUUGGGCCUGAGUGGUCCCGGGAGGCCCAGGCGGCCAGCACUGCCUGCGACCAGACCUUAUGCCGGAUAAUCAGGGUGAAGAAUCAGCCGGCUGCGACCGGCAUCCCAACCACACCCCCCAGGGCAGCCUAGGUGAGGAGCCCCACUGACAUCCCGGUCCUCUGCAACUGUCUCUCAACUGAUUCUGAGCCCAGGAGAGUGCUUUUAUCUCAGUCGCCACGACACCCCUGCGAAGUCUGAAGAUGUGGUCUUCCUCACGUUGUAGAUGAAGAGACUGAGGGUCAGAGUGGGGAAGGAGCCUGCCCAAGGUCACCCAGCCGUAAGCAGCACGGCCAGGACCUGAACACGGGACUUCUGGCAUGCAUGUGCAGACCAGUCCCACUGCCCCAGGCUGCCUCCAUGGCCCCGAAGGCAGGGCACAAAUAGCUCUCAAAGGCCGCCAAGCACAGCUGGAUUCCUUACACUCAAGUUCAAGCAGGCGUAUUCAGACAUUCAGAUGGAAGGCUCAGAGAACCCCUUCCAGCCCUGCACAGCAGAAGGAAGGGGGCCACGAGCAGGGGCUGCUCAGAUGAGACUUGCCCACUGGGGCCAGGACACCACCCAGGACCCCGUAUGACAUCAAUCAUCCUGUCUCCUUAGCUCUUCUGGGCUGUGACGGUUUCUCAGACUGUCCUUGUUCUGGAUGACCUUGGCCGUUUGAGGAGGACUGACCAGGAAUUUUGUAGGCAGACCCUUGUCUGGGAUUUGCCUGAUGUUUUUCUCAGGAUUAGACUGGGGUCUUGGGUUUUGCAGGGAGACCACAGAGGUGAAGGGCCCUCAUCCCAUCCCCUCGGUGCGUUGCACGUGCCGUCAGCGUGGCUGAUCACUGUGACGUUGACCUUGAUCACCUGGCUGAGGUGUGGCUGUCAGGCGUCUGCUCUGCAAAGUCCCUCUUUACCCCACCCCCGUCUACGCUGUCCUCUUUGGGAAGAGGUCACUACGCACGGCUCACAUCUAGGGAGGUAGGGAUUAGGUCCCACUGGUGCUUUUUGUUUUGGCCAUAUAGACUUUUAAAAAAUUGUAUGUAGAAUUUAUCAAUAUUUUCUUUUGUAGUGUCUGGAUUUUUGCAUCUUAGCUAGAGACUCUGAGUUUAGAGAGCAAGUUGCUUAUGUUUUAUCUUAGUACCUAGAGUUUCACUUUUUCCAGUUAAAUUUUUGAUCUGUUUGGCAUUCAUCCUGUUGUAUACGGUGUAUAUGGAUUCAUUUUAUUCCAUGUGGCCACUCGUUUGUUCCAAUACCAUUGAUUGAAAAUUCCAUCUCUCUGCUUUUCACUGAUUUGAGGAGUGAAUCAUACCUAGAUUAUCAUACAAACACACACACACACACACACACACACACACACACACGGCCUUCUAUUCCGUUCCUUAAAUCUUCCCAUCUAUUCAUGAGCUACCACCUCACUUUUAGUUAUCAAGGCUUUACAGUAAUCUGAUAGCAUUAGAAUCCCGUCCCUGUUUUUUCCUGUUCUGAGCUUCUUCGGUUCUUCUUGUUUAUUUUUUCACGUGAAAUUCAGAAACCAUCUUUGGUAGUUCUGAGAAUGAGGGAAUCAGUUGGUGUAUUUCCUGGGAUGAUGCUAAAAUUAUAACUUAACUUAGGACAUAAGGACAGCCUAAUAUUAAAUUUUCCUCUCCAAAACCACAAGGUGUUUCUGUUCUUUCUUUGUCUUCAGGAGUUUCAAACUUUUCCUCAAACAGGUAUUGAUUAUCACGUUUAUUCCUUGGCAAUUCAUCCUUCUGUUGCAAUCGCAAAUGCAGUUGUCUAGAAAGCUUCUAACAGGUUGCUAUGUGUUUCUCUAAAGACUACUGACGUUUGUAAGUUAAUAACACACCCGCCGCCAUGCUGAAUUCUCUUAUUGUCUGCAGCAGUUUUUCCAUUGAGAUUCUCCUGGGUUUUCUACAGCAUCUCAAAUAGCGACUGUUUACUCCUUCUUUCCAGUUUUUACUUCAAAGCUGUUAAAAAUAGUUUGCCUCAAUUUGUCAGCUUUAAAUCAUAUUCUUCGAUCCACUGACAGUUCCAACUCUACAAACGUGACAGUCUGAGAGCUUAUUCCUCCUCUCUACCUUCUCUCCCUCGCUCUCUGUUCACUUAGGUGAAUCUUACACAUUAAUAUUUAUGUGUCAUCUUAUACAUGUAAUAUUUACAUUCUGUUCCAGCACGCUUACCCUGUUUGUUUUACUCUGUAGUUAAAUAUGCACGACGCUCAACCAGCGUUGGUGCCAAGCUUUCCCAAGCGUCUCGUGGUUGAUGGGGGUUGAGUUUCUAGUAGUUUCUCACGAACGGCUCAUGGGAACAACAUUUCCUGAGUUCCUGGCAGAUUUAAAACCUUUAGUCUGUGGCCUUUCAACGUGAAGGACAUCUUGGUUGCACAUAAGAUCCUUGGGUCCCCUUCUCCCUUCCCGCUCUCCUGUGUUCUGGACUGAAUGUUGCUGUGGAAAAGUUAGAAGCCGGCCCAGUUGUUCUCCCUCUAAAGCAACUUGAUUGCUUUUGCCUGGAUGCCUACGGAUCCUUUUGUUUCCAUUAAAAGUCAGUGACUUUACUGGGCUGUGACCCAAUGUUAACCCAGCACACACGUCAACUUCCCCUGGUACCUAGUGUGUCCUUGCAGUAUAGAAAUUAAAGUCUCCUUUUAUUUCAAUAAAUUUUCUUGAAUUACCUUUUUUUAAAUUAAAAAAAUUUUAAAUUAUUAUUAUUAAUUUUUGGGCUGCUUUGGGUCUUGGUUGCUGCACGCGGGCUUUCUCUAGUUGCAGCGAGCAGGGGCUACUCUUCGUUGCGGUGCGCGGGCUUCUCAUUGCGGUGGCUUCUCUUGUUGUGGAGCACGGACUCUAGGUGCGUGGGCUUCAGUAGUUGCAGCACACGGGCUCAGUAGUUGUGGCUCACGGGCUCUAGAGCGCAGGCUCGGUAGUUGUGGCGCACGGGCUUAGUUGCUCCACGGCACGUGGGAUCUUCCCGGACCAGGGAUCAAACCCGUGUCCCCUGCAUUGGCAGGCGGAUUCUUAACCACUGUGCCACCAGGGAAGUCCCUUGAAUUAUCUUUUAAAAACAGUGAAGCAUCACCACGCCAUGAAAAGUCAGGCCCAUCAGAUUCAAUCCUGUAAGACGUGUGCUCACGUCAACACAAGACUACUAAAAAUGACUGAGGUGGCCACAGAGCUGCUCAAACAGGGAUUCUGAGGUCCAGCGAGCUUCAGCCAAUUGAUGCCAGCACAGGCUGCAGUUUGGUUCCACCUGGUUUCAAUGUCACUUCUAGGGUCCUGUGGCUGAAUGGACAGUGGCCUCUAGGAAUCUGCCAGUCCUGGCACCCCCUUCACUGGCCUGAACUGGGAAGACUGGGCUGGGCCAAUACCAGUGGAGCCCAUGCUCUGCCUCCUGGUUCCCCACUCAGCCUUCUCUUCCCUCCAGCCCUUCCUUCGCAGAAGAUAACUUCAGCCCACCAUCACUGACAUAACAGAAGCAAACUGCCUACCACAUUAUAGCCAAAUUCAUAUCGCAGGGAACCGUGGGCAAGUUUUACUGUAGCUCUUCUGCCCCGUCAUCUCGCUUUUCUUCUUUAAAGCCUCCAAUUAUCCACCUGUUGUAUCUUCUUUGCUUGUCUUCUCUAGGUACCACUUCCUAAUAUUUAAAAAUCCAUUCUUUCUUUUUUGUUUUGUAUCCUUCUCUCACUCCUGCCUCCUAGGUCUUACUGUGUCUUCUGCUGUGUCUAUGGUGCCCUGUGCUCCUCCAGUUAUGUAUUUAUGUGAUGGUCUUACUAUUUUUUCCUGAAAUUUUUCAGCUCACGUUUCCCUCUCUCUAGUACUUCAGCCAUUUAGCCAUCUUUUCCUUCAGUCCUUGUCUUUCAGCACUGCAGUUUCCUUCUUAGUAGUGAUUAUUGUAUUCAUUUCUUUCUUUUAAUUCAUAGUAGAAUACUGGACUUUGGGGGUAGUAUUUUUUAUUUAUGGUAAACAUCGCUUCUCUUUCUCAUAUUUCUCCUUACGGUGGCUUUGUACUGACUUCACUCUUCCAAUACGGUGCCUCAGUGGGAUUCUGUUUUAUCACGCCUCCUUGCUGCCCAACAAGGUCAAGGAGGGUCUGUGGCAUCUCCUCUGCUCCUGGAGGCCUUACGGAGGUUCUCUUUCCAUAUUCCUUUGUGUGGUCCCAGCCCUGUCUACCCUAAGUGCAGCUCAUAGACACUGCCUGUCCUUUUGCACUUGAAUACAGACUUGUGAUCCUCAGUAUGGCUGACUCUUUCUGCAACCUGCAGCUCCCUGGCCUUCAGCAAGGCCCCGCCCACACCACUCAGUUCUGCUGCUUCAUAUAUAUAUGAAUACAUAAUUUAUACAUAUAUAUAUAUAAUUUUAUAUAUAUAUAAAAUUACAUAAUUUUCUAUGCUUCUUUGUAUCUCUGUGGUGCCAUAUUCCAAAGCACUAAUAACCUCUGUUCAUCCUGUCUAGUAAUUUUUUUUUAUUUCAAUCACCAUGUUUUUCAUUACCAGAUUUUCAAAUAAUUUUUGUAACCGUCUGAUGUUUUAUUUUCAU